CCUACGGGCGGCAGCAGUGGGGAAUAUUGGACAAUGGGGGCAACCCUGAUCCAGCCAUGCCGCGUGUGUGAAGAAGGCCCUCGGGUUGUAAAGCACUUUCAGUGAGGAAGAACGCCUGGUGGUUAAUACCCAUCAGGAAAGACAUCACUCACAGAAGAAGCACCGGCUAACUCCGUGCCAGCAGCCGCGGUAAUACGGAGGGUGCGAGCGUUAAUCGGAAUUACUGGGCGUAAAGCGCGCGUAGGUGGCUUGAUAAGCCGGUUGUGAAAGCCCCGGGCUCAACCUGGGAACGGCAUCCGGAACUGUCAAGCUAGAGUGCAGGAGAGGAAGGUAGAAUUCCCGGUGUAGCGGUGAAAUGCGUAGAGAUUGGGAGGAAUACCAGUGGCGAAGGCGGCCUUCUGGACUGACACUGACACUGAGGUGCGAAAGCGUGGGUAGCAAACAGGAUUAGAUACCCUUGUAGUC
rnacentral:rRNA from 1 species